CUGCCUCUGUUCCAGUGCCCUCCCGCUCUCCUUGUAACAGUGCACGUUAUACCCUCGGUAAGUAGAGGGUGGCUGGAAGUCGCAAUGGAGUUUCAAAUAAAUAAUAAUUUUCACGGCGCGCUGGUGAUUAAAUAUCACGGGUCAUUAACGCAGCUAAUGGGUCGUUGAUAAAACAAUUUAUCUGCGGCAUGAGUGAAAGCGGAAUAUUUCGGGGUGCUAAUUCCCUUGGAGCCUCUUUCCCCUCCCCUGGAUGAGCGGACCCACCGUCCCGCUGCCCACGGCGGUAGCCGAGCUCCCCGCGAGAAGCGCAGCCCCGGAGGUUGGCGGAGAGGUCGGGAGGGUGCAGGUCUCGUCCCUGCGGCUGAGGUACCGCCCCGCUCUGUGCGAUUAGGGCUGAGCGGAGAGAGGGAAAGGAAAGCGGCUCUUUGUGGAAGCACCCAGCAGUCGUUCCCCCAGGGCCGCGUCCUGUUCCCGUAUAUGCCUGCACGAGUUUGGUCACUUUAUGCGCCCGUCAUCUUGUGCAGUGUUUUUUUCUUCUGGAAAUCCUACUGGAUGGUAAUAAGCACGGGCACAAAGCGAGGAAUGAAAGAAAAGUCCGAAUUAUGUGUGUGUAUAUAUAUAUAAAGUACUUGUAAGUAAAAAUACCGAGUUCUUCUUUUGCGAAAUCUCUGUUGUGAGAAAAGUUCAUUCGAAAUCAAUUAUUUCUGUUUAAAGAAAAUGAAUGACUACCGCAGUGUUGUUACCUACAGUGCUUCCUUCUCCAACUCUUGAGGUCAUACUUGGAGCAAUGCGCACACCCCGAUCGCGUACCGCUGGCCGGGUUUCAACAACUGCGGUGACGACCGACACUUCGUAUCCCUGAACGACACAAAUCGCAACGGAUUGGGAUUGUUACGGACGCGUCGCGCUGCGCUUCGCAGCGUGGGGAGAUCGGCUCCCCCUCCCUCUCCCUCUCCCCCCUAUUUGGCGUUCGGCUGCCAAUCCUCCGGCACCGACGGGCUUCCCCGAGAGGCAGCGACACUUUCAUAGAAUCACAGAAUCGUAGAAUCGCUAAGGUUGGAAAAGACCCACAGCAUCAUCCAGUCCAACCAUUCGCCCUUCACCAAUGGUUCUCGCUAAACCGUGUCCCUCAAGAGCUGGCUCUGUUACUUCCCAGACAUUUUUGGAUAAACUCCGGUGUGGUCUCGUAAUUAGUUCUGUAUUUAUAUGUUUAUGAUUUCCAACCGCUCGCUGAAGAGCAGCCCGUGAUAGCCGCACGUUUCCAGUCUAUAACUUUGAUUCGCUUCCCGGCGGGAGCUGUCAUCUCUAUUUCUUUCCCCGCAUUUUUCAGCCGCCUCCCAAUACUCCGCUUCCCUCCCUCAAGAAAGGGCGCUCAGCAAAGCGGGGACGCUGCUUUAGGAAACACUAACGCGAAGUACCAGCACAUUUGCUGCUGAUCUCCAGCUCUUAAUCUAUUGCCCAAAUAACAUCCCACGUUAUCUCCAGGACACGCGUUCGCUCUUCUGUCUCUUCCUGUGUCCCAUUAAUAGGACAAGCCCGCCUGCAUGCGACCCUUUCUACAUGUACUCAGCGACGGUGUGCUUUGGCUGGCUGAAGAGUGGGUACUUUCAUUUUAUUUUUGCAUUUCAUUUCAUUUCAUUUCAUUUCAUUUCAUUUCAUUUCAUUAUGUAACCGAUCCCCUUUCUCCGAUUCCCAUUCUCUAGGCAGCCCGCUGGGGACCCCGGAAUAGCAGAGCAGUGUCUCUGUGCAGCGGGCCAGGUGUGCGGUGCCGCCCGCGCGGUGAUAGCAGCAUUCUGCUGGCUCGUAUGAGAGAAAUCGUGUCCGUAUGUGGUAUUCUGUUUUUCUUUCCCUGCGUAAUGUGUCUCUGGAAGAAGUCUCAGCAUUUCAGCCGCCAACUUUAUCCUUAGGUGAGAUUGCAACCCGCCGCCCGCUGUCUCCGCGGGAGAAUGCCGGGCGGGACGCGUACGAGCAGGGCGACCUGAAGCCCCCCGGGCAGCACCGCAGCGACCCGGGGCCGCCACCGCCCGGCGCUUCUGCCUGCUGCACGACCGGCCGCUUUUGGAGGUGCUGGGAAGGGGCGGGAGACGGCUGCGAGAGAGGAGCUGCGGAGCUACUUCGAUGCACUCCACUCUACUGACAGCACUGCUUUUUUAUUUUUCCUUUUCCUUUCCCCCUCCCUUUUCUCUCUUUUCAUCCUUUUCUUUCUUUUUCUUUUUCUUUUAUUAUUAUUAUUAUUAUUAUAACUAUUAUUAUUAAUAAUGAUGAACGUAAUGCAUUUCCCGAGCUGGUACUUAAAACGAUAACCCUGCAGUUUGCUCUCCCGUUUCGGCAGUUCGUAGGUAGGCGUUUGUGCGUGUGCUGCUUCCUAAUCUCAGCUACAAUUACUUGCUUUUUUUUUUUUUUUUUUUUUCCUGCUCCGGUUUACACUACAAAUGUGCGAAAUCGGCACCUUCAGCUUGAUGGCACACGGUUCUCCUGCUCUCCUGGCGCUAAAAUAAGGGUCUUUCCUACAGCUGUGCAGAUUUCUUCAGUGGCAACGUACUGCUGCCUGCAACCAAGGCUGCCUUUUUGUGCAUCGUCCCAUUUAGUACUGGAGUCAUGCGGGAAGAAGGGGCUUCUGCCCGGCGCCCGUUCAGGUUCUCCUGCCGUGGGAAACUGCGGAGCUCUCGGCUCUGAAGGAGCCUCUAAGCUCGGCAUUUACCGCCCGCUUUUCCGUGCUCCUUUCUUGACGUCACACCUCAACGUGAGGCUCAGCACCGAAGCGGAAACUCCGGGCGGGGCUCCCCCGUCCGGGUGCAGAGCGAGGUCGGUCCCGUCCCGCCGGCACGUUUUAGGGUCGUUUUAAUCCGUCUGAACUUCGAAACAAAGCUGCUUCCCAGAGGAAAUUUCCACUGCUGCUGCUCUCCUGCACCAGAGGGCGCCGGGCUGCUUCCCAGGCCGCUGGCGAGGGCUGCCUUGCGAGAGCUGCGGCUGCGAGUUAACUCUUUCGGCUCUUCUGUUCUGGCUGAAAGGGUUUUUUUCCUUCCUUCUCUCUCUUUCUUUUUCUUUUUUUCUUCUCUUUCUUCCCCCCCCAUGCGUGCUCUCGCAGUGCUGCAAGGGCUUCACCCUCCCUCAACAUCCCCCAUCAGCCUCAAGAGAUUUACAGCUCCUCUCUGUCUCAGCUAACUUGGUUCUAAUUAAGUCACUGGAUCACGUUUGCGUGACAUUACCGUGUUUUCCCUCGUAAUUGUCUGGGAUAAAAGUUUGUCUGGCUGCAUUGAAGCUUAAAGGGUCACUUAGGGCUCUUCAAACAGAGCAGCAACGAAGCACAACACCAAAGGAGUAAACACUCAUAAAGAUUUCACUCCGACACCUGUAUUAUUUAGGUUUGUGCCCAAGGGGUGCAAAGCCAGGCCCUCUGUAUUGAUGCUGCAUGCUCCCAGCUUUUUUUACGCUGAGACACAAGGAAAUUCAAAGCUAGGUUUCCCGUGGCAACUGGAACAGAGGUGGGUACAUCGCAUAUGUGUGUGAUGUUGUUUCCAUGCCUCAAUUACCAGCUCUGAUCGCUGGUGUUGGGUCCUUGUCAGCCUCAUCAUACAGCACGUGCACGUUGGUGACACUGCGCUGUGCCUUGUGCCUGCUCCUGAACAGCUGCAAGGCCGAAGGCCUCGAACAGUGGGGAUUGUAGGAUGAUUGUAGGAUGAGAGUGACUUUGGCCCAGACUACACAUAUUUCAGGAGGUUAUGGAAGACUAUGGAAACAGUGGAUUAGAAACACUAAGUUAUGGUGAAAGCAUUCCUUCUGUUUAUCUGCAUAUGUAAAUAUUGCUGCUCACACAGUUUUUAUGGCAAUUUGGGUUGAUUAUUCACCGUAAAAAAAAAAUCAGGGAUGCAAUCUAGAAGGUUUUUUUUUAGUGUAAUUUGUUUUAUGCAUAUGUCUAUGGUAUGUAUUUAUGUAUAAAUACUGGGCAGAAAUGAUAACAAAGAGCAGGUGGGCAAAUCCUUAUCAUUAUCAUAUUUAUUUAUUUCAGAAAUCCAUUUCCAAACAUCAUAAUCCGGAUUCAGAUGAGAAGUUGACUCGCAGAGUAUUCACUGCUUGAAAUACAUGGGAAGCAAUUUAAAUGGCUAUCUGGUAACCCUUCCAUCUACUCUCUGAAGUAUGCUCAUGUAAAUACCACAAUGCAAGCAUUGCAGAAAGUACUCCCUACUUACACACUGAGGAGAAAAGAACACACAGGCCUGAAGGUCCAUAUCAGGUGACCUGUGUAUAUGAAGUAUACUAGCAUGUUAAAAAAUGCUCUGACAACUUCUUUUUUUAAGUAUAUCCUUUAGAAAACCUGUGUCUUUUCUUCAUUUGUGACCAAUAUAUAUUUGCUCCAUUUAGCAGUAAUGAUCUAGAUCAAGAACCCAUCUAGGCACCGUACAUAUACACAACAGAUAGUUUCCAACUGAGCUUAUAAUUCUAAAUAACUUGUCUUAAAAAUGGGAAGAGAAAUAGAGGUUUAUUUUUACCAUCUGGGAUCGGGGGAAAAUUAAUUUCUUAAUAGCUAGUAACUAAAAAAAGUCACCAACUUCCCAGCUCACUGUCUUCAUUGAAAGCUUAGUUUUCCUUUAGUUCUCUUUAAAUACAUCAAACUAUGUAACUAACUGAGAAAUGCCAUUAUUUUCUGUCCCUAUAUUUUUCUUCAUUUUGGUAUCUAGAUGUGCCAACACAAAUGACUGAAAAGCAGCAGUUUGAGAUAAAUGCCUGCAUUCAGAUACAUCAAGGAGAUGCAGUUAGAAAGAUAGACAGCUGAGCAGUCUAUGGAAGUGAUAGCUGUUCACUUUGAGAACUGCUGUCCUGAUGUAGUUGGUAUGUUAAGAGAUGUCUGUCAAACUUAUGGGAAAAUACACCACUAAAAUGCAGUGGAGGACACUACAGAGAAAAUUCUGCUACCACAUAAAUACUUAGGGAAUAGCAGCAGAAUGAAUGCGUAAGACAGAGGAAAGGCAAAUUAAAAGUAUCAGAUGAAGGAAGAAGAAGCUAAAUAUUAAGACACGACAUUUCCAUGUUUCCUGUUACUUUUUUUUCAAGGA
rnacentral:lncRNA from 1 species